AAACAACUUUCAACAACGGAUCUCUUGGCUCUCGCAUCGAUGAAGAACGCAGCGAAAUGCGAUAAGUAAUGUGAAUUGCAGAAUUCAGUGAAUCAUCGAAUCUUUGAACGCACCUUGCGCUCCUUGGUAUUCCGAGGAGCAUGCCUGUUUGAGUGUCAU
rnacentral:rRNA from 1 species